UUGGCACUGAGAAAGCCCAGGAGAGCCCA
rnacentral:misc_RNA from 1 species